GAUGAACGCUGGCGGUAUGCCUAACACAUGCAAGUCGUACGAGGGUUUUUAACUCUAGUGGCGGACGGGUGAGUAACACGUGAGAAUUUGCCUUUAGGAGGGGGAUAACAAUCGGAAACGAAUGCUAAUACCCCAUAUGCUUUUGAGUGAAAUGGAUUUAUCCGCCUAAAGAGAAGCUCGCGGCUGAUUAGCUUGUUGGUAAGGUAAGAGCUUACCAAGGCGACGAUCAGUAUCUGGUUUGAGAGGACGAUCAGACACACUGGAACUGAGACACGGUCCAGACUCCUACGGGAGGCAGCAGUGGGGAAUUUUCCGCAAUGGGCGAAAGCCUGACGGAGCAAUACCGCGUGAGGGAAGACUGCCUAUGGGUUGUAAACCUUCUUUUUCAGGGAGGAAUAAAAUGACGUGUACCUGAAGAAUAAGCAUCGGCUAACUCCGUG
rnacentral:rRNA from 1 species